rnacentral:lncRNA from 1 species
ACUCCACUGUUUGGCUGGGAAAGGACCGAGACGCGCUCAGUGCACAGGGGGCCGGCUGCGGCCAUAAAUCUCCGGGCGGGCCCUCCUUCCCGCUGCUCACGCCGGGGUGCUCCGGGCCGGUCUCGUGUCCCGGGCCACGCCGCGCACCCUGCUCACCCCAUCACGGCCUGGGGACCCGGAGACUGCGCAGGGAACCACGCCAGGAGCUUCUCCGUUCACCAAAGAGAGGGAACGGCCUCGUUCCUCGGUGUCAACACCAUCCAUCUCUGAGGGCGCUGGACCCUGAGGUGGCCCGAGCUUCACAGGAUCACCGCCUUGGGAGGGGCGGGAACAGGCCUUCGCGCUGGUGUCUUACAUCAGCCAAGCAAACCAUGGGCGCGAUUGGAGCCAACCACCUCCAGCGGGGUUUUGCUCCAGACUUAAGGUGCACGGAAACCGGAGCAUUCAGCCCUUCAUGGAUGCCUCCCGAAAACCUCACCAUGCCAGUGACACGACUGCAAACGGCGGGUGGCACAUGCCGGGGGCUUGGGAUGGGAGGGUUUGGAAACCUCGCUCCAAGGACGCCCUCAGCCAAGGAGCUUCGGCUCCUUCCUAGAAUUUCUAGAAGCACUUUUGGAGGGACCGAGGGCUUCCGGCCGGGCCCAGAGGAAUUUGAGCGCUUGCCCGGGCAGGCAGAAGCGCAGCCUGGGAGUGGAGAGGCUGCUGGGCCACAUUCCGGCCCAGCUUCCCCCGCUAGGCCCCAGCCCUGCCGCGGCGCCCCAGGAAGCACCUCCGAAAACAAAGCGCUGUGAGGCGCUGCACCUAGGUGGGGAGUGGGUGCCCCGGGAGAGGACUGUCCCUUCUCUUAGAGGUUCCUUCCCCCACCCCCUCCCUGCCGGCUCCCAGCUUUGUUUAGGCCUCUGAACCCCUCCGGGGCAGGCCUGUGCACGCCGAGUUCUGCAGCAAAUUCCACGGCCAGCCUGUCCCUCAGAGGCACCUCAGCACGCCCCACCUCUCCCAGCCCCACCUCCCCAGCACACGCCACGCGUCCCAAAUCCAGGCUGUCCCACCCCCUUCCCAGGCAGA